UACGUAGGGGGCAAGCGUUGUCCGGAAUCAUUGGGCGUAAAGCGCGCGUAGGCGGCUCAGUAAGUCCGCUCUGAAAGCUUGGGGCUUAACCCCAAGAGGCGGGCGGAUACUGCUGGGCUCGAGUCCGGAAGAGGCGAGUGGAAUUCCUGGUGUAGCGGUGAAAUGCGCAGAUAUCAGGAGGAACACCAGUGGCGAAGGCGACUUCCUGGCCUGUUCUUGACGCUGAGGCGCGAAAGCUAGGGGAGCAAACGGG
rnacentral:rRNA from 1 species